UACAUGUGGGGCAAGCGUUGUUCGGAAUUACUGGGCAUAAAGGGUGCGUAGGUGGUUUGGUAAGUCAGUGGUGAAAUCGUCCGGCCCAACCGGACACGUGCCAAUGAUACUGCCGAACUCGAGUGCGUGAGGGGUGGGGGGAACGAGCAGUGUAGCGGUGAAAUGCGUAGAUAUUGCUCGGAAGGCCAAAGCCGAAGGGACCCCACUGGUACGCAACUGACACUGAGGCACGAAAGCGUGGGGAGCAAACAGG
rnacentral:rRNA from 1 species